UCUACAACAAAACGGCUUACAAAGAAAUAAAACAAGGUGCUGCUGUGGCCUAGUCAAAGUCUGGAUCUCAAUCUGAAAUGAGAGCUGAGAAGGAAUAAAUGUCUGUGCACAGACCGGAACUCCUCAGGUAACGAGGCCAGACAGAACCUGUUGCUGAAAGAGGUUUUACCUGCAGGUGGAUCCGGAAGUGGAUUGUUUUUAACAACGCCGAGUAAAAUAUGUAAAUUAAUCUCAUUUCACAGUUACGUAGCAUCAGCGCUGCUUCAGCACCGAACAGGACCGAUAAUAUGAUUUCCGACUGAAGCCUGGUUCCGCUUCAGCCACUCGUUCCCACUUCCUGAUUUAUGCUAACCUGUUAGCCGCUAGCUGCUAGCUCCGUUAGCCUUGUUACCUUUGAUGGUUUCUCCGCUCUACGGUGUCAACUACCACCGCCUGCUUGGGACAAAAUACUUCAAGCUAGUCCUGCAGAAGCUGAUGCUGCGUUCAGUGUUACUGGGAAUUAGAGAAUUACGAUUCAAAUGUCCUCCG